rnacentral:rRNA from 1 species
GGUUUAAUGUGAACAACUUGCACUAGGUUUUUAGUAAUAAUAUUAAAUACAAAGCAUUAGUGGAUUUAGUAAAGGUGAUUGAAAUUUAAUAUUUUGUAUGUAAAUAGUACUGAGAAGGAAAGUUAAGAACUAAUAAAUAGAAAUAAUUAAGAUUUGUACCUUUUGCAUCAUGGCUUAACUAGAUUAGUUUCUAUAUAGAGGAUCUCGAAACCUAAUGAGCUAUCUUUAUUCUGAUUUAUAGGUUAAUACUGAGUUGGUUGUGGCAAAAACCUCUCGAGAGCUAAAGAUAGAUAUGAAAUUUUAUUCGCAUUAGGUGAUAGCUAGUUCUUUUCUAAAGGUAUAUUAGUACCUUAGGUCGUAAAUGGAAUAACAUGAAUGUAAGUUUUGUUAUUGUGGCGGUUUAGUUAGGUUUUUGAGGAUAAGCUCGAAAGCGGGUUAAUGUUGCAUUUAAUUUUUUUUAAAAUAUAAGCUUAGUAAUGGUUAUUAAUGAGGGAUUUUGUUAUAAUUCAUUUUUUAAUUAAUAAUACAAUUUAUUUGCUUAAUAGAAUUAAGGAAAGAAAUUUUAAUAACUUUUGUAAGAUGAUUCUAUGUUAAGAUGAGUAUUGAAAACUAUUAUUUUUAAUAAACUAACAAAUUAGAGGUUGGGGCUAUGUAAGGAUUUUUAAAAUAAAAUCAUAAAAAGGAACUCGGCAAGACCGUAUUCUGCCUGUUUAUCAAAAACAUGGCUUCGUGUAAAAGCUAAAUACGAAGUCGGACCUGCCCAGUGAAAUUUUAAACGGCCGCGGUACUCUGACCGUGCAAAGGUAGCAUAAUCAUUUGCCUUAUAAUUGAAGGCUGGAAUGAAUGGUUUGACAAGAAUACAGCUGUCUCUUUUAGAUUGUUUAGAAUUUUAUUUUUGGAUGAAAAAGUCCAAAUAUUAUUAAAAGACAAGAAGACCCUAUCGAGCUUUAGAGAAAUUAAUAGAUUUAAUAUGAAUUAAUAUAAGUAAAAGACAUAGCUAUUAAAUACUUUGGUUGGGGCAACCGAGGAGUAAAUAAAGCCUCCUUUAUUUUGUGAGCCUUACUUGUGUUGAUCCAGGAAUUUUGAUCAAAGAAAUUAGUUACCGUAGGGAUAACAGCAUUAUCUUUUUUGAGAGCUCAUAUCGAAAAAAAGGUUUGUGACCUCGAUGUUGGACCAGAAUGUCCUAAAGAUGCAGAAGUCUUUAAGGGUUGGUCUGUUCGACCAUUAAAAUUCUACGUGAUCUGAGUUCAGACCGGCGUGAGCCAGGUCAGUUUCUAUCUUUAUUUUUUUGGUUACGUUUAGUACGAAAGGACCAAUGUAACGUAUAAAAUAUUAUUAUUAGAUUAAAUAUAAUUUUUCUGUAA